UGUCUUUGUACUGAAUAUUUCUGCACUUUUUUGUAAAAAAAAAUAUAAAUAUAUGUAUUUUAAAAAAAAGAAAACACCAAAUUAUCUAGGGGGGCUUAAGAAUAUUUUAGGUGGCCAAAAAAAAUAGGCCAAACGACAAAUAGGCCAAUUUUUUAAAAAAUAAAAUAGGCCAAACGACGCCAAUGCCUUCAGUGUUUCCCUCAUCAAGAUCAUCUUCGGCUGUAGCCGCUAGCUAGCCAGAUCAGGAGAGCCCUUCUUUUUUUUCCUCUCUGUUGAUUCACAGACGAAUCCUCGAUCCUAAGUUUCCAUCCAGCCGCAGUCCACUCCUUUUUCCCUCGUCGAGAUCGUCUACGGCUGUAGCAGCAGAGGCUAGCCGGAUCAGGAGAGUGCUUUUUUUCCUUUCCGUUGAUUCACAGACGUAUCCUCGAUCCUGUGUUUUUGUUUUUUAUACUCACCUUCAGUGUUUCCCCUCGUCGAGAUCGUCUUCGGCUGUAGCAGCAGAGGCCAGCCGGCUCAGGAGAGCGUUUUUGUUUUCCUCUCCUUGUGAACCCUCCAUCCUGUGUUUUUGGUUUUCUUCAUACUCACUCCUGUCGUCAGACCUUCCUCCGACGAAUCCUCGAACCUGUGUUUCUUUUUUGGUUUGGUUUUUAUACUCACCAUCAGUGUUUCCCUCGUCGUCCUCGCUCAGCUGCAGUCCGCAGUUGAUUCACAGACGAAUCCUCGAUCCUGUGUUUCCAUCCAUGCGCUACUCGCUCAGCUGCAGUCCACUCCUAUUUUCCCUCGUUGAGAUCGUCUUCGGCUGUAGCCGCAGAGGCUAGCCGGAUCAGGAGAGCGCUUUUUUUCCUCUUCGUUGAUUCACAGACGAAUUUCCUCUUUCUUCGCUCUGCGGAUCCAGUGCCCAUACUGUGAAAAGAGUCUGUGCAACAGAGGAAUACAGCAGAGGUUUUCAGUCAAAUGUUUUCACGACAGCGUAGCAGAGGUGAGUUUUUAGAUAACCAUUUUUACAAGCCGAAGGAGCUGCGGGCGAGUUGACCUUUUUGUCUCUUGAGCGCCUGCAGUCCCCACGUCCUCAACCCUCCGCCGCGCUUUUUGUGCAUCACAGGUGGGGUGUGUGUGGAUUCAAAGACUCAUUUCUGUGUCAUGUAUUUGUUAUGCUCUUAUGAUUAAACAAACAAAAGUCCAAUCGAUGCAAAUGGUUCAGUCAGGAAGGUGAGCUAACGAAUGAUUGAAUGCAACUCGGUGUAAGAGCAGAGCAAAUUCACGGCACAGAGACAGACCAAACGACUGCACAAUUCAGUGGUAGCAGAGUGUGAGGGGAUAAUUGAGCCAAAGAGCAAGAAGUGUCACCCUCCCCAUAUUUUUGACGAGACAUCCAUUUCACUCAGGCCUGCAAAGAAGAGAGAGAAAUGUGGCUGAGGGGAUACGGAGCUAUCACAGUGAUCCCCUUGAUUUAAAAGCCUGAGGGUAAGAAGGAAAAGAAAAAGAAAAAGCAUCUAUCUAUCUAUCUAUCUAUCUAGAUAGAUAGAUAGAUAGAUAGAUAUAGACUACUUACUGUACUCUAGUCUCUCCUCUAUGGCCCUUUUUGUCUGUGUUCAACACUUUUGAGAAAACUUUUCUGUUUACUUUCACCCCUGCUCACACCUCUAAUCUGUGCCUUAAAACUAUGGCUACAGGCCAACCACCCAAGCCUCUUCUAAGCCUACUACUUGGAAAAGCCAGGGGUUACUCCAGGGAUGGGCAUCUGAAAUCAGCAUGCCCAAGACGCACCCACCCAGUAAAACAGGAAAGAGAAUAAAGCUGUCUACUCUGUCAAAUGUCCCUGAGCUGGGGAAGGCACUGGCAAAGCAUCCCAACCGCUGUUUAUGAAGCCAUUCAUUCAGACUGUGUUAGUCUAAGUGCAGCCUUGCGAAUUUAAGUGCUCUCUGCUGCCAGCUACAUGAGAGCUGGUUAAGCAAAAUCAGCAUUAAAGUUUAUGAUUCUGCAUGGUCUCACUUUACCUCUUUUGUACCACCUUCUCUGUAGCUCCGAUACCCGUAUAUAUGUCCAUUGUAUGUGCUUCAAUAGUCCCCUGUUUUGAAUCUCGCACCUUUUGUUAUUUCUCGAACUCUGUCUUUGUUCUUUAUCCUCCAUGUCCUGCUGCCUGAGAGGCCAGCCACUGGCCAGCCAGCAAGAGCCUCUCUUUGCCACCGAAGAAGGGAAACCUAUAUACAGGUUGUGGUUUUCUGCUCACCUCUGCCUGCUCUGCCAAUCCUGCUGGCUCCCACCAGAGUGCAACUCUACACAUUCACCACACAUAGGUGCAGCUACAACUGCAUCUUACGCUGUUCCCGUCUCGACACUAAAGACUACGGGUUGAUGGUCCUCAUCAGCCUUUGAAUGAUUCCUCAGGCCCAAGGCUAAAGAAGAUUCCUGUGCUCAAUUAGCUACGAGUGCUUUAAAAAAAUGCUGCUGCCCCAUAAUUCUGUCCCAUAUUUAUUGUAUUCUUAAGCAUAUUCCCAAUUAUAGAUAUGUGUAUGAAUUAAAUUAAUCCUGAUCCAUGAUCAUGUUUUGAGGGUAACCAAUACUAUGCGAGCUAUGAAGUUGGGUAAGUUGCUUCAUAGUUUCUCGCUGCUGGCUGCCCUCCCUCCCCUGUAGAUGCUUUCAUGUAGCUCAUGAAAGCUGGGGAGGGUUUCCUAGUAUGGUUGUUCUGGGGGACUUUUAAUGUAUUUGUCACUGCUCCCCCUGCCUCGGCUUUAAUGUAGCACAUGAAAGCCGAAAGGUUGUCUGGUAUGGCUGUUUUGGGGGAUUUUAAUUUUCCUUAAUUUUAUUUAUUUGCUGCUGCUUUUUCUGCCUUGGCUUUUCAUAUAUGCACAUAAAAGGGAGGGGAGGGCAUUCCCUCUCAUAGCCGUGGCAUUCCAUGCAAGCACAUAAAAGAGCAGGGAACUCUCAGAACAGAGCCAUACCGCCAAUGUAAAAAUGUUUGCUCAUAAUAAUUAAUUUUGACUAAAGUAGUCCUGACUGAAAUGAAGCAUACUCGUAGUUCAGGUAGGACACAUAGGUUACAGUAAAGCUAAAGGUUACAGUCAGCUGAUCUUAAGCCAGCCUUCAGUCAGAUGACAGCUCAGCUGAUCGCCCUCCACACAUCCUAUUGGCAAAUGUCAAAAUGGCGCCCUAAUUAAACUGCUUCUCCUACCUACUCUGCCUGGCAUGGUCGUUUUGGGGUGGUUCUGUUCAUCACUGCUCUACCUCCCAUUGUUUAUGAUGCCUCAUGAAGGGCGGGAAGGUGCUCUUCCUGCCAAUGGCCUUUCACACAUGCUUGUGUGGAGAACGGGGGGCCCCAAACAGAACCUUGCGUGCGCUCCCUGCUAUGGCCUUUUCAUGAUGGCUCGUGAAGGGCAGGAAGAGGCUCUUCCUGCCUCUGGCUUCCAUGCAACAGAACUAUCCCGCCAAAUUUAACUUUGCAAAAUAAAGCUGAAUUUUGACAAAGUGAUCCUGACUGAAUUGUGGUACAUCAUAUCUGUGACAUCAAACUUGGAGGGAUUGCAGGUUAGAUGUUGUAGAGCAGAUCCAAUGAAUAAAAUGCCUACUCACAUUGGGUUUACUUUUACUUUUGACUAUAAAAUUACUUCUUUUUCUAGGCGGAGAUAAAAUUUUUGAUUUGUAAUUUGUCUGAUACCAUUCUAGCAUUAUAAAGGCCACCGCCAAUCUUUCACUUGAUUUAGAUUCAACAAGAUUGUUGGAGGCCCUAGGCCCUAGGCCAUACAGUUGAUGAGCUAUUACUGAUUUACUUUGGGUAUGUCAUUUCAGGUGGAAAUAACCCCUAAAUAGCACAGGGUGCAUGUGGUUAAGGGACUGCACGAUAGGAAAGCCAUCAAGAACAUCAUGGAUGCUGCAGAGAAGAGGUCAAGAUGGCUUUGGAUCAAACACGGCACUCCAUGGACACAAGCUGGGGCUUGAUUAACCCUGGCUGGGUCAUCUGGACGAGGGUGUCUGACUGUUGAAAGACCUGGAACACCCAAUGACCUUGGUUUACAUCACUGAUGAUGUGUCUAAGCUGCAUGUACAGGUGUAUGUAAAAACACGGUGUGUGAUUGGGAGCCAGUAGAGCUGCUGGAGGAUUGGUGUGAUGUGGUGACUGAAUGGGGUCCUUUUGAUAAUAUGGACUUCUGAAUUCUGUACCAGAGUUUUUUGCAGAAGUCCAAACAGGAGGGAGUUGCAGUAGUCGACUCGGGUGAUGCGUUCAGCACAAUGGAUGACUCGAUGCAGAGACCAGUACCAGGCAGUGAUGCUCGCAGAAAGCACAGACCCCACUGUGGCGGUGUAGAAAGUUUGCCAAUUUGUUCACAAUGCUUUUUUUAAAAUCCAGCGUGAGUUUUAUGUAUUUUGAGAUGUAUUUACUCCAUGAUCAGAUGUUGCUUUCAUGGAAAUACACCAUUUUACUCCACUUACCUUUAGAUAUACAUUGAUGUUUCCAGACCAUUGCUUAAUAUAUGUCAGCAAAAGAUAAUAAGGGCUUAGUUUCAGAGUCGAAAACAUUUGCAAGAGUCACAACUUAAGUGCAAAAGCAAAAAAAAAAACAUCAUAGUUGGAUUAUUCAUGUCAACUUUUUGGCUUUUGAGAGUCUGCAUACAAAAAUCCUAAUAAAUCUCAACUGCGUUCAAACUACCCCAAAAAUGGCUAGAAAGAAGCAACUGAGUAAAGAAACAAAAGUGCAAAAUUGUACAUUGAGGAAAGAAGGGUACACAGAAAAAGAAACUGCAAAACACCUAAAGGUGUUUAACAAAGGAGUCCACUACACUCUGAAGAGACUAGAGGAACCUGGAAGUUAUGAUGAUAGAAAAAGACCUGGAUGAAAGAGAGUUACUACAAAAGGGGAGGAUAAACAUAUCAUUGUCACCAGUAAGAGAGAUCAGCAAAGACAGCACCACAAAUAAGGGAGGAAAUCAACAUUACAAGGUCGCAACCCGUAUCUCUGACAACCGUGAAAUGACGUUUGAGAAAGGCUGGUCUGAAGGGUUGUGUAUCUGCAAAAAAACACUACUUUGUCCACAGAACAAGAAAUAUAGAGACAUGAGUACCACCAUGUGGUACACCCACAAUUCAGCAUGGAGGUGGUAGUUCCAUGGUAUGGGGAUGACUGACAGCUUGGUUACACUGUGUGGUUUCCUGCAGAGUCGGGGCUUUGAAAGGGGGAGUGACAGAGCACUGUUACCAUGGAGAUGGAGGACUGUUUCCUGUCUGCUGCUGCUCGUAAAAAGGUGUUAAUGUGACCACACUCUGCUCUCAUCCAACUAAUGAACAGACCUAAAAUAAAUACAGGUACACUGGAACCUUUUAUUACUGUGAAAACAAACACAGAAUUCAUAAUGUCAGACAUUGAUUCAGUUUUCUUUGCUUCAUCUCUCUGCCAGAGUUACUUGAUGAUGACCUGAGUGAAAUAGUUAAAGAUGAAACUCAGUCACACUGAAGGUUUUGUGAACUUUCUCUCCAUCUCAUUUUUGUGUUGAAGAUUUUUGUCUCACUAAUAAAAUUAAUGAUAAAAUGUUAUAUCACACACACACACACACACACACACACACACACACACACACACACACACACACACACACACACACACACACACACACACACACACACACAAACACUAUCAACCCUAAAACCUCCAAAUAUUUUAUUUCACUCAAUUUAUUUAAAUUAAAAAAGCAUUUGGGACACACAUUUAUUUUUACAAAUGAAGUAUAAUAUUUUCUACAGGUCUAAAUAUUUUGGUCCAGUCAGAUCAUUUUCUUUCAGUCAUUUAAUUUUAAGUCUUGAAAUAUUCUUUUAACGUUUUAAUAUAAAAUUAUUUCUAUUGAUUCAAUCAUUCUGAAGUUGUAGAUUUUUGGCUGUGUCAUUGCUGCCAAGCAGAGGCAUGUUUGGAUGUAAACUUUCAAACUGAGUCUAGAUGUGAGCCUUCAGUGUUUUUAUUACCUGAAGGACAAUCAGAGGUGUCCGUCUGAAGUAGACCGGUAAAAACACCUGACAGCAGGCAUAGAGUAAGAAAGUGUGAACAGUCUGUAUAGUGACUAGGAACGAAAACAAAGUCACUGAGAGGCUAAGUGAGGGAGCUUCCGCAUUGGUGACUCGCUACACAAACCACAAGCCAUUUCCGUGUUUUCCGAUUGAGUUCACAUUUAUUUCCAACGCCGCACAAACAGACAGACAGGGCAAGGCAAGGCAAGAUGAUCUAUGGGCUUAGUUUGACGUUUAAAUCAAGCGGUCAACAAAAAAUACGCUCUCCCUACUCACCCCCUCUCCAUGCAGCCGCCGCAGCACCCAGGUGACUAUAUGUCCAUUCAUUCAAUCAUUCAAUCAUCGCGCCUUGACCACACCCCCUCGUGACGUGCAUGAAAGGUGCAGCCCAGACAGUUGAUGUCAACACACACAAACCUAACCACUUCUGCAUAUGGCACCUACAACCCAGCCCCUAAUUAUUACCAUUAUAAUAAUUACACUAUGACAAAUAAACGAACCACGAAAUCCACCAAUGUUCUUGUAAUAGUCCAUCAAUACAGUUCAUCAAUGUGCUCUUCUUCCUGGAACACAAGUCAAGUCUAGCCAAG
rnacentral:lncRNA from 1 species